rnacentral:rRNA from 1 species
CCCUUAGAUGUUCUGGGCCGCACGCGCGCUACACUGAUGCAUUCAACGAGUCUAAAACCUGCUCUGAUAGGGGUGGGUAAUCUUUUGAAUGUGCAUCGUGAUUGGGAUAGAUGAUUGCAAUUUUUCAUCUUCAACGAGGAAUGCCUAGUAAACGCAAGUCAUCAGCUUGCAUUGAUUACGUCCCUGCCCUUUGUACACACCGCCCGUCGCUCCUACCGAUUGAAUGAUCCGAUGAAUAUCAUGGAUUGAGGAUUAUAGCAGGUUCGCCUGUCUUGGUCUUCGAGAAGUGAAGUAAAUCUUAUCAUUUAGAGGAAGGAGAAGUCGUAACA